rnacentral:rRNA from 1 species
GGGGGGGGGGGGGGGGGGGCGUGGCGGAGGGAAGUCGGACGGGGGGGCCCUGCGUUUGGGGGGGGGGCGAGUGGCGAACGGGUGAGGAACACGUUAGUAACCUGCGCUGGGCUUGGGGAGAACUGCAGGAAACUUGGGCUAAUACCGGAUAGGCGCGCCGGAUGCAUGGUGGGGGUUGGAAAGGUUGGGCGGUUGGGGAUGGACUCUCGUCGUCUCAACUUGUUGGUGGGGGAGUUGCUGACCAAGGCUUUGACGCGUAGCCGGCCUGAGAGGGUGACCGGACACAUUGGGACUGAGGUACGGCCUAGGCUCCUACGGGAGGCAGCAGUGGGGAAUAUUGCACAAUGGGCGGAAGCCUGAUGCAGCAACGCCGCGUGUGGGAUGAAGGCCUUCGGGUUGUAACCCGCGUUCGCCUGUGACGAAGCGUGAGUGACGUUAAUGGGUAAAGAAGCACCGGCUAACUACGUG